ACUUGACCUUGCCCAUGUGAAGAGAUGGAGGGCCACUAACUCCAGACUCUCCUGUUAGGCGGCUUCCUACAGAGACUACGGAAUUCUCAUACUCUUCUAAUGGAAUUUCCAAGUUUUUCAGCCAAUCUGGUCAAGCGUAGAAUGUGAGGUGUCCUUCCGGCCGAGGAAGACUGGACACAGCAGUAGGGCGAUUGCAUCAGCGUAUGAGAGUUACAAACGUCCCGGUCUCCUUGUUCAGAUACAAGACACUGGCAUUCUUCAUGUACACGAUUAAGAGGAAGAACAAGUUGGAUUAUACUAUAUCUGAUAAAUAUCAAUUAAAAGGCCACAGGUAAGUUUUGUCUGGUGUUGUUAGUAUUGGCCGGAAAGCAUCCUUCAACUCUCUUGGAGUACUGGGAACAUAGCCUCAUUCAGCU
rnacentral:lncRNA from 13 species